UUUAAAAAUGUAAGUAAUAUUUUUAAUAUUUAUACCCAGAAUAACCGAUCUAAUAAUUGUUCAUUAAAAAAUAUUUGAAAUUAACAAAUGAAAAAAAAUCAACUCGACAAAUUUCCCAAAACCCCACCUUAUUUUUUAAAGUGGUCACAAAAUUCCAGCGGAGUUGACCUUCCUUAGAGCAACACGCUUGUGUGUUGCUGCCCUCUACGUUCGUUGUCCAACACCAACCAACCAACCGUUAAUUUGCACUGCACUCUUAUCGAGUGCGACGAAGAAGGGUAAAGAAGGCCGUUUUAAUAAUAAUUCAACCACUGAAAUCACACGGACCAGAUUUGGACAAUGACUUGAAAGCUAAGACAUUCGCAGUAGGCUCUACAAGAGAGAGGGAGACCCAAAACCACCUGGAGUCAUACUGAGCCUCGAGGAGGAGAUGAAGUCAGUGAACAUGACCUGGGGGGCCGCUGGGGUACCGGUACUAGUUUCCAGAAGAAGGCCCAGCUCAGAACCGCCAGGAGUGGAGAUCCGAAUACUUCGUUGCUGCCCUCCAUGCGAGGAGGCUGUAAGUUAGAUACAUCGCAUCAACCAGCAAAGAACGUGUGCCAGUACAGGAAAGGAAUGUACCUGUCGCACGUGAACUCUUCAGAGGCAGUGAGGACAACAAGAUCUGCAAGCAAUUGAUCCUUUUUAUACAUCGCAUCUACCAGCAAAGAACGUGUGCCAGUACAGGAAAGGAAUGUACCUGUCGCAGUGAACCCUUCAGAGGCAGUGAGGACAACAAGAUCUGCAAGCAAGUGAUCCUUUUUAUACAUCGCAUCUACCAGCAAAGAUCAAGUGCCACUACAGGAAAGGAAGGUACCUGUCUCACGAUUACACUUCAGAGCCAGGGAGGGCCCCAAGAUCUCAAUAAAUAAUAAUUAAAAAAAGACUCCUUUAUCAUUCCUUUAAAAAUAGUACAUAUUAUUUAUUGAAGGUAAAUGCUUAGAUGCAUUAUAUUCAAAUUUUGUCCCCAAGCUAGCUUGUAAAAAUUGGAUUGAUUACAUAUUUACUGUGUAAGUUAAUGAUCUUUGUUGACACAUAAUACAAGAAUUAUACACAGCAUGUUACAGUUUGUAACAUAAUUUUCUUUCAUUAAAU